rnacentral:misc_RNA from 1 species
UAAUAAGUGUUUUAUGGCACUUUUUAAAUCCAUAUCCACCUUGUGUGCAAUGUCAGUCGAUCUUCUUCAUGGAGAUCGACCAAACAUCAACCUUAUUUUUUAACUCUUUGUCUGAAAAAUAUUAUGAAUAACCAAUUCAAAAUA